AUUUUGUUUUUCUUUUGUAAGUUUUAAUGUUUUAGAAACACUAUUACAAGAGUUGUCUUUCUCGCGUGGUCGUGUUCUUCGGCGGAGAAGAUUGUUUAAAAGUCUCAGGAACCGUCCUCCACCACCACCGCUGCACAUCCUUCUCCACUGUUCUUUCUCACUGUCUCACUGAUUCACAGUUCUUUCUCACCGAGUGAAGUUUGAGCCAUUGCAAUCGAAGUACGUUCGAUUUUGCCACUGUCAAGUAAUCGUGCCAUUGCUACUCUCUUUUCGUGAUCCUCUUUUCAUAUCAGGAAAAAGAGUGUGGCCACAAGGCUAGUAGAGGAGAGGUAUGGAUAACAACACAUAAACAUGCUAAUGGAGCCUUUGUGAGUGAUGAAGCAAGGGAAAUCAAUUAUAUGGAUCAACAUCAUCAUCAUCUGUAUCAAAAGAAAUAUCAAGUACUGAUUCCUUAGCUUUUGCUUUCGGAAGCCAAGAACACUAUGGACGUGUUAGGGGUUUGGGUUUGGGUCCUUGCCCAUCUAAAGUGUUUGGCUCCAAGGGUAAUUCAUAUAAUGAAACAUCUUCAAGUUAUCCUUCUAAUGCUCAGUUACAAAAUCAGGUAUCUGAUCAAGGAAGUGUUCCUAACGAAGAAACAAAUGAUCAACAUCCAACACCGCAUUAGAUGAUAUUUUUCGUUUACUUUUGGAAUUUUUCAACAAAGAUGCUUCUAGAAAACUUUUGGUUAAUUAUGUUAAUGGGGAACAACUCUAAUUUCCUUUUACAUUUUGGUUUAUUGUAGGUAGAUAGUGCACUGCUUAUUAUGUCACUAUCAUUCAAAUGCUACCUCUCCAUCACUUAUUAUAUUAAGAGCAUUAUGACUGCUAGUCCACUAUUGGUACUAUUUGAAUGAAUAUUUGUAUUGGUACCAUUUGAAUGAAUAUUUGUAUUGAUUGCUUAUUUUGAA